ACCACUCUUUAAGUAGGUAUUUCGAAUAAAGAUUUGUAGUAAAAGUGAUAAAGAAAACUAUUAAAAUAUACCGGAAAUUAGAAAAAAAUUAGACUCGUAAUAAUGCAACAUUCUGUAAACCAGUAACAGUCAGAUAAAUUCAAUAAAAAUAGACGGUAGGGGCCAAAAACUUUUGCAAUGAAGUUAAAACCAAUAACUAUAGUGGGCCAAGUUUUGAUUCAGAAUAAGCCCAAGUGGCUCAGAACAGCAACAGAACAUUUCAUGAUCCCAAAACUUCUCAGUCAAUCGAUUUUAAUCAAAGAUUAAUGUUUAAAUUGAUCAAAAUUGAAUUAAUUCGGGUUUAUAAACAGAGUACGAGGAAAGUUAUGUUUCUAGAUAUUAACAAAAUCAGUUUUAUGGAAUCUUCUGCUUUUCAUCAAAACAGCCCAAAAUAUGCAGGUAAGAUAGUACCAAAAUUUUAUGAACAGAUGUCUGGCUGAGAAACUGAGAAAGAAAUAAAUGGGGUACUCUCUUUUUUAACUUACAUAGGGUGUAGUCCUUCGAUGACAAGGAUCUUAGGAGGCUUGAUGAGCUCAGGAGGAUCUAAGAGACCAGUAACAUGGUUGUAGAUAGGCUUGUCGACAGCAACACCGCUCUUGAUAGCCUUAACUUGCUCAUACAUGAGGUCAAAGUCGUUAGCUCUUGGGUCAAGUGCUGUCACCCCCUUCUCUUUCCUUCCAGUUCUGUCGAGUGAAUGGUAAUCAUCUAAGCAUAUCACAGUGGUCAUAUCGCUAAUGAGUGUGUUUGAAUCAGGAUUGCCUCCCUUCGGUGGCUCGGCUGCACCACCAAACACACUUGUUAGCCUCCUCAUGAAGGUACUCUUCCCACAUCCUGAGUCUGCGGCCAAACCAAUCACAACAGUUUGUGAAUCACCGGCCGAGCAUGUUAUCACGCAUGGGCCGCUGCUGCUGCCGCUGCCGCUGCCGCUGCCACCUCUCUUGCUGCUUCUCCUAUAGAAAACUAC
rnacentral:lncRNA from 1 species